rnacentral:lncRNA from 1 species
AAACAAUUAAAAUGUUAUUAAACAACAACAAACAAUACAGUUUAGCCAAACAUUGUAUCUACCAUAUAAUACAGUACAAUAGAGUACAAUACAUUAUGAAACAAUGGGUAACAAUGAUCCAAAAACUUAUAAUAGUAGGAAAAUUAGAGUCAAAUUCUAUUACAAUUAGAAAUCUUUUUUCACACUAUUAGGUUGGAAAAGUUGGCAAAAGGGUGGCGUCUCGCGACUAGCAUCGCAGCUCUAACUCGCCUUAGAACUCUUCACUGUGGCGUGUCACACCAAACAUCGCGCCUGAGAAGCGCCUCAGAGUUUUCGACAGGCGCGUCAAGCCAAUUAGUAUGCCACAAAACCUUCCCUGAAUUUCCACCAGUUGGCGCGCCAACCAGUGUGCCAGCCACUAGUGAUUUUUGCCUUAGUCAUUUUCUUGCAUGUAUUUGCUCCUUUUUUCUUCGUUCCAACUUCAAUUUCCUCGAAAGUUUUUGAAAAAACUAAUGAUGUGUGUGAGUGCACAAUCGUCACAGUUACACACAAAAAUCAAGCCAAUAACUAAAGAUUAUUCUUUAAUUCAAUCAAUUCAUGGAUAAUUAUUGACAACUUAAGCAUAUAAAUAUGCCUACCAUCAAUAAUCUUUCCUGUCAUUCCUUAUGUGUAAGCGCAAUAAAAAAUCAUCAGGAAGACCUUAACAUUUUUCAAGGAAAAUACCUUCCAAAGAAUAAAUUUUCCUAACUAUAUUUUGGAAUUGGUUAGACAAAAAGUUGUUGACAAAUGAUAGAAGUAGAGGACUUGAAAAAUUAAGGUGGUUUCCGUGGAUAUCUCCACUAGCAAUGAAUAAGGGUAGUAUUCACAUAUUAAUAGGUGCAAGAGAUAUGAAAAUAGAAACGAAGAAUACUGUACAGGAAAAUUAUUUGUGUCAUUUAGAGCUGUAAAUGGCACAAAUGAAAAUAGAAACGAAGAAUACCACCUUGAGAUCUUUUAAAGAGUUUCAAAUGGGCCAUCUGUUUGGGUCAUAAUUGUGACCAGGGGUUGGUUACUAUCGUGGUAAUAAUCACACCGGAUAGUUAAAUUAUAUUUAUCAUCUAAAACAAGGUAAAUUUAUAUCUCAAAUAUAUUACAACUGGAAAGUAUAUAUCUAGUAGAACACAAGAUUAUCUGAGAUCGACCAAACAUCAAAUACUAACUCAAGACUGAUCAAACAUCAAAUACUAACUCAACACCACCUAAGAUUGUCCAAACAUCAUAUACUAACUAAAUACUACCUUAGUUUGGCGAAACAUCAGUACUAACUAACUCAACGCCACCUCAAGAAUAUAGUGUGCUAAUGGGAGAAGGGGUGUCUGGGCCUACUGAUCAAGCCUCGACAACUAUUUAUCAAAAUCAGAGUAAUGAAGUGAAAAUUGAAGAAAUUAGUCUUGUUUUUUUAAUGGAUUGGAUGACAUAUUACUCAAUAGGUCGCCCCACAUGAUCCAAUAGAGAAUACUAGCAAUCUCUUGAAAUUUGAGGUCUUCACCAAACACUACCGCCAUAUAACACACAGAAGGACUUUUUGUAAUAUGAUGUUUGUGAUUCUUUAUCACCUCUUUCUAAGAGCUCGUAUCUUUUGACGUUUUGUAAUUCGAUAUUUGUGAUUCAUUUUAUCUCUCUCUGAAAAUUCGUAUCUUUUAACGUUUUGUAAUUCGAUGUUUGUGAUUCAUUUUACCUCUCAUAUCUUUUUUGCUUUCUUGGCUAAUUAGGCUUAUAAUCAAUUUUGUAAAAUAAUUAUUUUAUAAGAUAUCUGUUUUUUCAGAUAUUAUUCCUAAUAGAAAUAUUUAUUUUUUUUGUUCCUUAGUAUUAGUUUCGUCUAUGUUCUUUCUACUUUAUUCUUGGAUUCCAGAACUGUCUACUAAUAUUCACUUACUUUAUUUCUUUUUAAUUGUCAUGUAUGUUAAAAACGAUUUACUUCAUGUUAGAGAAAAAACAUAAAAUCACCAUUGAAGUUAUCUCGAAUUUUCAAAAAGACAUUUUAACUUUAAGGGUGUCCUAUUACCCCAUUAAACAACUUCACAAUAGUAUGUAUACCCCAUUUUUCACCUAAUACCACUUAUACAAAAAUAUUUAUAACUCACGCACGAAUAGUCACUUGACAUGUGUUAAAAGUAAUUUUACAUUAUUUUUAUUUGAUUUCUUUGCUUUUCUUUUAAUUUUCUUUUUCCUUUUUUUCUUUUUUCCUGUUUCUCUUUCUUCUUCACCCUCAAUCUCUAUUCUCAACUUUUGUCAUUCCUUUCGUUAUGUAGAACAACUGCCAAACCCGCUGUGGCGAAACAAAAUUUUUGAAAACAUUAUUAAUUAUUUGUCAAACUACCACCAAUUAAUUUAUUUAUGAAAAUAAAUAUUGGUAAAUAAUCAAAAUUUAAAUACUCAAAAUAUCACCAAGUCAAAAUAUGACAUUUAAAUAACUUCCUUCUUCAACUUCUAACUCCCGAAUCGAGUUUUUUAUAGUUUCGUUAUUCCUAAAUCUAAAACUUGAUUUUUAGGAGGAAUAAAACACUAAACUAAUUUGUUUUUCAAAAAAAAGAAAAGAAUAAGAAUGAACACAAUAACAUUUGUUUUUUAAAAAAAAUGGAGGAAGACAUAGAUGUCCAAGAAAUAUGGGAAAGCUAAUCAUGGUAGGGAAGAUGAGAAAAGUAAAAAUUAUUCAUAAUAAAGCUUUAAAAAGAUCAAUACAGUGGUUUAUAUAUUUUUUUAAAAAUAAGUCAAAUUGGGUGUGCCACAUGACAAUUUUUCGUUGGUCUGAAGCUGUUUGAACAGUCCUUCACGCGCCCAAAUUUCGUGACAACAUGAGUGGUGUUAAAAUUAGUCAAAAGGGUAUCUUUAUUGUGGAUUUAGAUAGUUUAGUGGGGUAAUAAGACACACGCAAAAUUAAGGUGUCCUUUUGAAAAUUCGAUACAACUUCAAUGGUAACUUUAUGUCUUUUCUCCUUCAUGUUAAUAUAAGAAUUAAUUAGUUUCUUUCCAACUUUAAGCUUAGCAUUAAUUAUUUUAAAAUUAAGAAGUACAUAAAUAGAUUUAAAGAAGUACUCAUUUCGUUUUAAUUUAUGUAACAUUUUUUGGAUUUCGAAAUUUAAAAUAGUCUAUUUUUUCAUAAAUUUUUCAUAUAUCUUUUAAAUAUGUUGAAUUUUCAAUUAUUUUGACUUAUAUUUUUUCAAUAAAGGGGUUCGAAAUCUAUUAAAUAACUAAAAAAUAUUUUUAACCAUGUAUAUGUAGUAAUAUUUUUCACCGGAGGGGAUUUAGAUGACCCCCCUAAGAACAUGUUGUCUCCGGCCCUGCCCACAACCGGUCUGUCUAAUUGUCAUCCCUAGUUAUACACUAAAAAUGGUCUUAUUUUAUUUCAAGGAAAUGAAUAGAUAACUAAUCCAAGAUUUAAUAAUCCUUGGAUAAAACCCUAAAUUACUAAACUAUCCUCAUAUUUUGUUUCCUAAUUUAUUUCGUAAUUUGAUUUCCUUUUUAUUUAUAUUUAAAUGGUUAUAAAUGUUCUUUUUGAUUCUCCAAAUUUGUUUAGUACAAUUUGAUGACUUCACUAAUACUUUUUUCUCUAUUUUUUUUAUUCAAUGUAGUUCGUUGAUUUACCACUUGAGCUUUAUAAUUUUUUAGUAAUCUUUAGGUAUUAAACAAUUUAAGAAGCUUUAAAUUUAUGUUAAGUAUAGGAUAUUUGAUCAACAAAAUACUACAAAUACACAGUGCCAUUAAGUAUCUCCAUAAUGGUACAUCACACCUCAAAAUUAAUAACAAGAAGGUUUCAUCCCUACAAAGUUCUUUAAAAAAUGAAAGAAGCCCGUAGAGCUGCCAACGACAAUAAAGUAGGAAUUAGUCUCUUUGAUAUUGAGAUUAGGACUUCUAUAGGAGACUCUAUUCUCUCAAGUUCUACUUCAUUUGUGCUAGUAAAAGAUAUUACAAAUCUUGUGAUACUUGGUACUCUUUUUAUAGAGGAACUUAUACCUCUCAUGGUAACUAACCAAGGAAUUCAACUAGAAACUAUUCUAUUUCCCUACCUUUUGAUAAACCUCCUAUCAAGAAAGUCUUUUGUACCUUGUAACACAAGGAGACCCAAAUCAAUUUUGAAGAACAUUAUUUUUCUUGCAAGAUACUCUCUCUCAAGAAUAUUUGAUUAGAGUUUACUCUUAUCUGUCUUUGUAUUUUAAAUUAGUUUGAUAAUAAUAUCAAAUUUCAAUUUUUAAAACCAUCUUUUUCUUUACUUCCCUAAUCUGUUUUUUAUUGGUUUAAGUAUUCAUGGUUGACACCACCACCUACUUUUAAUUAAUUGCUUGCACAAGCAUAUGAUCGACCCUACCGCCUAAUUUAUUGCAUUUGUACUUACAUUACUUACUUGCAUUAUAAUUUAAUUAUUGUACUUUCUAUCCUUCUUUUCCUUUCUUCCCCUUUAUUUUAGGGGUUUUCGCUUCCGAGCACUUGGUAUCAGAUCAUGCUUUUCGAAAUUCAAAUUGAUCCAAGAGAUUGUUAUAAAAUAAUUUUUACGGUACCUUUUGGUCAAUAUGAGUGUGUGUUAUGACAUUUGGAUAGAGUUUUAACAAAAUAAUGAAUAAUAUGUUCAAUCCUUUCUAAAAAUUUAUCAUAGUCUACAUUGAUGAUGUUCAAAUAUUUUCUACUAGCAUUGACCAACACUUCAAGCAUCUGAAAGUUUUCUUCAAUAUCAUCAAAGAUAAUGACAUAAUUUUAUCCAAUAUUAAGUAUAGUAUUUUUCUAAUUAAUAUAAGGUUCCUUGGGUACAAUAUCCAACAAGGCACUAUUAUCCGUUUCCGACGAUAUAUACAACUCGGUGAUAAAUUUUCUAAUCAAAUACUUGAUAAAACCUAACUUCAACGAUUUUUGGGUUUGUCAAUUAUAUAACAUACUUUCUUCCAGGUCUUAGCAAUUUAUUGAAACCUCUCAAUGACAGGUUAAAGAAACCUCCUCUCACGUGGACCAACACCCAAACCAAUGUUGUUAAAGAGAUAAAAUUGAAAAUCCUCUUGCAGGACUGUGACAGAUCCAGAGACACAUCUUUAUCUGUGGUGUCUGGAUCUGCAUGAUUUAUAGAUUUCUCAAUUUCUAGUAUUCGACGUUGAAGGUCAGAAAGUUGAAAAAAAUCUCUAGCUUUAUGAAUUUGGAGUUUUGUGGCAAAUAUCCUAGGAAUUUAAUAAGGUUCGAUCAAUGGAAUAGAAGAGGUAGAGUUUUUCUUCUAAUUUUAAGGAAGCAAUAGGUGUGGAGUGUUGUUUUGACAUCAAAAGUUCCCCUAGAGCAUGUAAAUAUUUAUUUCUGUAGUUAAUUUGUUAAAAGAAAUAUAAACCUAGGGAUUUCCUCAACUUUCAGACCUUCAACGUCGAACUCAGAAAAUUGAGAAAUUUAUAAACCCUGUAGCUCCCUAAUAAAUAUGUGCCUUAUGGAUCUGUCAAAGUCCUUCAAGAAGAUUUUUUGAAAUUUCAUUGUGAAUAAAAUUCAACUUUAAGAUUUUCUUUGUUAAUAUGAAAAUCUUGAGUCAAAACAUAUAGUUCUCUACCUUGGGACGAUUAAGGGGGUGAUUGAGGUUGAUCAUCAUUGACUUCUGUCGGAGGAGGUGUUUUAACUUGUGAGAUCCUAGAGCAAAAUUUAACGACCUCAACUCUUAAACUUUCAACUAAAAGCCUAGGAAUAUAUUAGGAUUAUAAAACUGAACCUAAUAGGAUUAGACCCCUAAAAUGUUAAUAAAAACUAACUAAAUCUGAUUGGAUAAGGAAAGGACCAAAAUACCCCUCACUAUUUUUGGCGAACUUUCCUUAAAUGGACAACCUAACUUCAAAAGGUCAUAUCUCACUCAUUCGAACUCAAAACUUAGCAAACUUGGUGGAGUUAGAAAGAUAAUUCAAAUAUCUUUCCCAUGGUAUCUUGUAACACACCUAACUCAUCCUGUGCUAGGAGUUAUAGAUGUUUAUAGUUUUCCAAAAUCGCACACUUAGCUUAACUUGCAAAAUUUCAUAUUUUGCUAUUUCCAAUUUAAUUCUUUUUGGAACUCAAGGUGCUAAAUCUAGUGAACUGACCUUAAUACUUAAGAAAUUUUUAAUUCCUUGGUAAAAUCUCACUCACUACGAGAAACAACUCAAGUCUUAGUUCGAAAUUUUUUCUGGGGUGUUACAGAAUGUACGAGUAGGCAAGUUGGAAUGCUAAACAUAACAUAAACUUGAAAAAAUUAUGAAGGAAACACUUACAUUGACUCUUCUCAACUCAUGAGUGAUUUAAUUCAAAAUAAAGCAGUAAAACACAUGCAAUAUAUACAUGAAAAGCUUUAUAAACAGUAAAAAUAACUUAAUUCAUUAAGGAAAAUGCAACAACAAACUCAACUUUUACUAAUAUAAUAAUGUAAUAUAGUUGUUGUGGAGAUUCUCUAACCGGCAACCAUUAUUAUGAGCCUAAAUGAUGGUACAACGCCUUACCUCAUGCUGCCAAGGACAGUGUUUUACCUUGUCGGGGGUAUAAAACUUAACUCACUGAGUGGAUUCACUAGUCUAUGCUAAAAGCAUCUUAAGGAGUCAUCUAAAAAGUAUAAUCCUUUGCUACCCAUAAUGGCUACAUGGUUUAUGGAGAGUUGAGUUAAUAUGAACUCGCAUCCCCGUACCGAUGUUCAAUACUACUCCCAAAAUAUACUUAACUCAUAUGUUUUUAAAACAAACUUCUUUCUUUGGUUUGAGAUAAUUACUCAAAACUUAGCUUAAAAACUCUUUUUGAAUCGAUGUUCCCUUUCUUGCUCAAAACUCUUUUGAAAAUCUCAGUUUCCACUCAUCUUAAAUGUUAAAACAUUUACUCUUUGGAAUAAUUAGUUCUCAUAUAUAAUUUUAAAGAAAAUGAAAUCAACUUUUUACUCUUUGCUUAAUUUGAAACUUGAGUCUUAAAAUAAGGUUAAAAUGUUUGUUAAAGACUUUUGAAAAACUUUAUGAACUUCUCUUAACUUGACUUUGAUCUUAACUGCUCUUGACUUGACUCUUAACUGGUCCUUUAAUUGAAAUAUGAAUUGAAGGACUGUGAUUUGUGAUUGCAAAGAUCUCAUGAUGUUUAGAAAUAGUUUUAGAUAGCUAAACAUGAUUAAAAAAACUAUAAUCUCACUAUUUGAGGGUGCGUCCGCGACGCGGAGAAACAUUAAAAUUUUGUUUUGAAAAUGUAUUUUGAGGCAGAAUGUCCUAUGACAGCUCCGCGACUCGAAACAAAAAUUCUGGGAAUCAACUCCGCGACGCGCCACCACCUUCGGAUUUCGUCCGACGAAAUUUUUUCUUCAUUUUUCGGCUCUAAACCCUCUAAACUCUAUGGGUUCUUUCCUCAAACACUUAGAAUCGAUUAAAUGUUCAAAGUACAUCAGAUUCUACUCAAAAUUGAACUUAAAAUCACGGAUUAGGAUCCAACAACUCCUCAACGAAUUCAACACAACAAGAAUUUAAUGGAACUUCAACAAACCCAUCAAGAAUUCAAUUUCUAAGCUUUCGAGAACAUAAAAAUUUGCUGAAAUAAAUCAUGAUUGGUGCAUGGACGAAUUAACCCAACGCUAUGUCAUCUCACAUACCUUGUAGGGAUCACCUUCAACGAAAUCCACAAGUUAAUCUCGACGAUCUUGAACGUUCUUACUUUCUCUUCUCCUUUCUCUUUUCUCCAAGCCCUAGCGUGAAAU